rnacentral:rRNA from 1 species
CCUACGGGGGGCUGCAGUGGGGAAUAUUGGACAAUGGGGGGAACCCUGAUCCAGCCAUGCCGCGUGUGUGAAGAAGGCCCUCGGGUUGUAAAGCACUUUCAGUGAGGAAGAACGCCUGGUGGUUAAUACCCAUCAGGAAAGACAUCACUCACAGAAGAAGCACCGGCUAACUCCGUGCCAGCAGCCGCGGUAAUACGGAGGGUGCGAGCGUUAAUCGGAAUUACUGGGCGUAAAGCGCGCGUAGGUGGCUUGAUAAGCCGGUUGUGAAAGCCCCGGGCUCAACCUGGGAACGGCAUCCGGAACUGUCAAGCUAGAGUGUAGGAGAGGAAGGUAGAAUUCCCGGUGUAGCGGUGAAAUGCGUAGAGAUCGGGAGGAAUACCAGUGGCGAAGGCGGCCUUCUGGACUGACACUGACACUGAGGUGCGAAAGCGUGGGUAGCAAACAGGAUUAGAUACCCGAGUAGUC